rnacentral:rRNA from 1 species
UACGAAGGGGGCUAGCGUUGCUCGGAAUCACUGGGCGUAAAGCGCACGUAGGCGGAUUGCUAAGUCAGGGGUGAAAUCCUGGAGCUCAACUCCAGAACUGCCUUUGAUACUGGCGGUCUCGAGUCCGGGAGAGGUGAGUGGAACUGCGAGUGUAGAGGUGAAAUUCGUAGAUAUUCGCAAGAACACCAGUGGCGAAGGCGGCUCACUGGCCCGGUACUGACGCUGAGGCACGAAAGCGUGGGGAGCAAGCAGG